rnacentral:rRNA from 1 species
GAUGAACGCUGGCGGCGUGCCUAAUACAUGCAAGUCGAGCGGUAAGGCCUCUUCGGAGGUACACGAGCAGCGGACGGCUGAGUAACGCGUAGGAACAUACCCCAAAGUGAGGGAUAACUGCUCGAAAGAGUAGCUAAUACCGCAUGUGAUCUAAGGAUUAAAGCUUCGGCGCUUUGGGAAUGGCCUGCGUAUGAUUAGUUUGUUGGUGAGGUAAUGGCUCACCAAGACUACGAUCAUUAGCUGGUCUGAGAGGAUGAUCAGCCAGACUGGGACUGAGACACGGCCCAGACUCCUACGGGAGGCAGCAGUAGGGAAUUUUCCACAAUGGGCGAAAGCCUGAUGGAGCAACGCCGCGUGCAGGAUGAAGGCCCUCGGGGUCGUAAACUGCUUUUAUAUGUGAAGAUUAUG